rnacentral:rRNA from 1 species
GUCGAGCGAGUUGAUUCUCUUCGGAGAUGAAGCUAGCGGCGGACGGGUGAGUAACACGUGGGCAACCUGCCUCAUAGAGGGGAAUAGCCUCCCGAAAGGGAGAUUAAUACCGCAUAAGAUUGUAGCUUUGCAUGAAGUAGCAAUUAAAGGAGUAAUCCGCUAUGAGAUGGGCCCGCGGCGCAUUAGCUAGUUGGUGAGGUAACGGCUCACCAAGGCGACGAUGCGUAGCCGACCUGAGAGGGUGAUCGGCCACAUUGGGACUGAGACACGGCCCAGACUCCUACGGGAGGCAGCAGUGGGGAAUAUUGCACAAUGGGGGAAACCCUGAUGCAGCAACGCCGCGUGAGUGAUGACGGCCUUCGGGUUGUAAAGCUCUGUCUUCAGGGACGAUAAUGACGGUACCUGAGGAGGAAGCCACGGCUAACUACGUGCCAGCAGCCGCGGUAAUACGUAGGUGGCGAGCGUUGUCCGGAUUUACUGGGCGUAAAGGGAGCGUAGGCGGACUUUUAAGUGAGAUGUGAAAUACCCGGGCUCAACUUGGGUGCUGCAUUUCAAACUGGAAGUCUAGAGUGCAGGAGAGGAGAAUGGAAUUCCUAGUGUAGCGGUGAAAUGCGUAGAGAUUAGGAAGAACACCAGUGGCGAAGGCGAUUCUCUGGACUGUAACUGACGCUGAGGCUCGAAAGCGUGAGGAGCAAACAGGAUUAGAUACCCUGGUAGUCCAC